rnacentral:rRNA from 1 species
GACGUAGGGCGCGAGCGUUGUCCGGAUUUAUUGGGCGUAAAGAGCUCGUAGGCGGCUUGUUACGUCGACUGUGAAAACCCGGAGCUCAACUCCGGGCCUGCAGUCGAUACGGGCAGACUGGAGUUCGGCAGGGGAGACUGGAAUUCCUGGUGUAGCGGUGAAAUGCGCAGAGUAAUCAGGAGGAACACCGGUGGCGAAGGCGGGUCUCUGGGCCGAUGACUGACGCUGAGGAGCGAAAGCGUGGGGAGCGAACAGG